AUUGAACGCUGGCGGAAUGCUUUACACAUGCAAGUCGAGCGGCAGCGCGGGGCAACCUGGCGGCGAGCGGCGAACGGGUGAGUAAUGCAUCGGAACAUGUCCAUGGAUGGGGGAUAGCCCGGCGAAAGCCGGAUUAAUACCGCAUGAGCCCGAGAGGGGAAAGUGGGGGCCCGCAAGGCCUCAUGUCGAUGGGGUGGCCGAUGCCCGAUUAGCUAGUUGGUGAGGUAAUGGCUCACCAAGGCGAUGAUCGGUAGCUGGUCUGAGAGGAUGAUCAGCCACACUGGGACUGAGACACGGCCCAGACUCCUACGGGAGGCAGCAGUGGGGAAUUUUGGACAAUGGGGGCAACCCUGAUCCAGCCAUUCCGCGUGAGUGAAGAAGGCCUUCGGGUUGUAAAGCUCUUUUGUCCGGAGCGAAACGGGGCGCGUGAAUAUCGCGCUCUACUGACGGUACCGGAAGAAUAAGCACCGGCUAACUACGUGCCAGCCGCCGCGGUAA
rnacentral:rRNA from 1 species